rnacentral:rRNA from 1 species
UGGGGAAUAUUGGACAAUGGGGGGAACCCUGAUCCAGCAAUGCCGCGUGUGUGAAGAAGGCCUGAGGGUUGUAAAGCACUUUUAGUAGGGAGGAGGGUUGAUAGGUUAAGAGCUAAUUGACUGGACGUUACCUACAGAAACAGCACCGGCUAACUCCGUGCCAGCAGCCGCGGUAAUACGGAGGGUGCGAGCGUUAAUCGGAAUUACUGGGCGUAAAGGGUGCGUAGGUGGUUAUAUAAGUUAUCUGUGAAAUCCCCGGGCUCAACCUGGGCAGGUCAGAUGAGACUGUAUGACUCGAGUAUAGGAGAGGGUAGUGGAAUUUCCGGUGUAGCGGUGAAAUGCGUAGAGAUCGGAAGGAACACCAGUGGCGAAGGCGGCUACCUGGCCUGAUACUGACACU